AUAAAGACCUGAGCUUGGAAGAGAAACAGAGGAUAUGUUAAAUGGGUAGUGAAAUGAAUCAAAGUAAGCCUGAGACUCGAGCUCUUCCAAAGUCUUGAUUGGGUAUGAGACAGGAGUGGACGGCUCUAUUGGGUCAAACGGAGGAGGGUCAACGGCAGAGGAUUGUUGCUGGAGAUCAUUGGAUUGGGACAUGUCGAGAAAGGGGAAGAAAAACAGGAUUUUUUUGAGUAUUAGAAUGAGGAAGUUGUAGAGAGAGAGCAACAUUUGACGGUCUACGUAGGUUCGAAGCAGAGCUACAAGCAUUUGUUUGUUUCAUAGAAUCAAUUAUCUAAACAGAAGAAGCAAAGCAGCGUGGUUGAAUUCUCUGCCAAGUUCCCUUUUUU
rnacentral:misc_RNA from 1 species